AACGAACGCUGGCGGCAGGCUUAACACAUGCAAGUCGAACGGAUCCUUCGGGAUUAGUGGCAGACGGGUGAGUAACGCGUGGGAACGUACCCUUUGCUACGGAAUAACUCAGGGAAACUUGAGCUAAUACCGUAUGUGCCCUACGGGGGAAAGAUUUAUCGGCAAAGGAUCGGCCCGCGUUGGAUUAGCUAGUUGGUGGGGUAAUGGCCUACCAAGGCGACGAUCCAUAGCUGGUCUGAGAGGAUGAUCGGCCACACUGGGACUGAGACACGGCCCAGACUCCUACGGGAGGCAGCAGUGGGGAAUAUUGGACAAUGGGCGCAAGCCUGAUCCAGCCAUGCCGCGUGAGUGAUGAAGGUCUUAGGAUUGUAAAGCUCUUUCACCGGUGAAGAUAAUGACGGUAGCCGGAGAAGAAGCCCCGGCUAACUUCGUG
rnacentral:rRNA from 1 species